rnacentral:rRNA from 1 species
AUUGAACGCUGGCGGCAGGCCUAACACAUGCAAGUCGAGCGGAUGAAGGGAGCUUGCUCCUGGAUUCAGCGGCGGACGGGUGAGUAAUGCCUAGGAAUCUGCCUGGUAGUGGGGGAUAACGUCCGGAAACGGGCGCUAAUACCGCAUACGUCCUGAGGGAGAAAGUGGGGGAUCUUCGGACCUCACGCUAUCAGAUGAGCCUAGGUCGGAUUAGCUAGUUGGUGGGGUAAAGGCCUACCAAGGCGACGAUCCGUAACUGGUCUGAGAGGAUGAUCAGUCACACUGGAACUGAGACACGGUCCAGACUCCUACGGGAGGCAGCAGUGGGGAAUAUUGGACAAUGGGCGAAAGCCUGAUCCAGCCAUGCCGCGUGUGCGAAGAAGGUCUUCGGAUUGUAAAGCACUUUAAGUUGGGAGGAAGGGCAGUAAGUUAAUACCUUGCUGUUUUGACGUUACCAACAGAAUCAGCACCGGCUAACUUCGUG